ACACCUCAACUCUCAUGGCUCGCCAUGAUGAGCUUGGACUUUGGGGGUCUUGCUGGCCUGCGGUCGGCUCCUCUCAAAUGGAUCAGCUUGCCAGUGUUUGGUGGCAUCACAGGUGUGAUAACUAUCUGCGCUUGUGGUUUUCCAUCAGAUAACCUUCAGUGAUGGAGGUUCGCUGGAGCUCAUAAACGUCUUCCCUAAGCGGGGACAGCCCUUUGAAU
rnacentral:misc_RNA from 1 species